UGGGGAAUAUUGCACAAUGGGCGAAAGCCUGAUGCAGCAACGCCGCGUGAGUGAUGAAGGCCUUCGGGUUGUAAAGCUCUGUCUUUUGGGACGAUAAUGACGGUACCAAAGGAGGAAGCCACGGCUAACUACGUGCCAGCAGCCGCGGUAAUACGUAGGUGGCAAGCGUUGUCCGGAAUUUACUGGGCGUAAAGGAUGCGUAGGCGGAUUUUUAAGUGAGAUGUGAAAUACCCGGGCUUAACUUGGGUGCUGCAUUCAAACUGGGAAUCUAGAGUGCGGGAGAGGAAAUGGAAUUCCUAGUGUAGCGGUGAAAUGCGUAGAGAUUAGGAAGAACACCAGUGGCGAAGGCGAUUCUCUGGACCGUAACUGACGCUGAGGCAUGAAAGCGUGGGUAGCAAACAGGAUUAGAUACCCUGGUAGUCCACGCCGUAAACGAUGAGUACUAGGUGUAGGAGGUAUCGACCCCUUCUGUGCCGCAGUUAACACAAUAAGUACUCCGCCUGGGAAGUACGAUCGCAA
rnacentral:rRNA from 1 species